UUUCCGUAGGUGAACCUGCGGAAGGAUCAUUAUUGUAUAACCGAGGUGCGAGGGCUGUCGCUGACCCGAAAGGUCGUGCACGCCCGAGUGCCCUCACACAUCCAUCUCACCCCUAUGUGCAUCACCGCGUGGGUCCCCCUUUGGCUUGUUCGGAGGGGGGCUUACGUUUUCACACAAACUUUGUAUGCAGUGUAGAAUGUAUUUUUUGUUUUUGCGAUCACGCAAUCAAUACAACUUUCAACAACGGAUCUCUUGGCUCUC
rnacentral:misc_RNA from 1 species